UACGAACUGUGCGAACGUUAUUCGGAAUCACUGGGCUUACAGGGUGCGUAGGCGGCUUGUUAAGUAGGGUGUGAAAGCCCUCGGCUCAACCGGGGAAUUGCGCCCUAAACUGGCGAGCUGGAGUGAGAUAGGGGUGUGUGGAACUUCCGGUGGAGCGGUGAAAUGUGUUGAUAUCGGAAGGAACGCCGGUGGCGAAAGCGACACACUGGAUCUUGUCUGACGCUGAGGCACGAAAGCCAGGGGAGCGAACGGG
rnacentral:rRNA from 1 species